UGUCUUAUAUUUUAAUUAAAAUUUUAAAUUGCAAAUUUAAAGAUGAAAUAUCAAUUUUCUAAGACUU
rnacentral:tRNA from 1 species